CUGCCCGUAGCUCAACCGGAUAGAGCACCGGCCUUCUAAGCCGGCGGUUGCGCGUUCGAGUCGCGCCGGGCAGGCCA
rnacentral:tRNA from 3 species